GUGCUCGCUUCAGCAGCACAUAUACUAAAAUUGGAGUGAUGCAGAGAAGAUCAGCACGGCCCCUGUGCAAGGGUGACAUCCAAAUUCGUGAAGCUUCCACAUUUUUC